rnacentral:rRNA from 1 species
AUUGAACGCUGGCGGCAGGCCUAACACAUGCAAGUCGAGCGGAGCGGCGGACGGGUGAGUAAUGCCUAGGAAUCUGCCUGGUAGUGGGGGUAACGUCCGGGAACGGGCGCUUAUACCCGCUUCUUUCCGAUGAGCCUAGGUCGGAUUUGCCAUGUGGUGGGGUAAAGGCCUACCAAGGAGACGAUCCGUAACUGGUCUGAGAGGAAGAUCAGUCACACUGGAACUGAGACACGGUCCAGACUCCUACGGGAGGCAGCAGUGGGGAAUAUUGGACAAUGGGCGAAAGCCUGAUCCAGCCAUGCCGCGUGUGUGAAGAAGGUCUUCGGAUUGUAAAGCACUUUAAGUUGGGAGGCGUUACCAACAGAAUAAGCACCGGCUAACUUCGUGCCAGCAGCCGCGGUAAUAC